AGCGGUAACGGGGUAAUUUAUUACCUGCUGACGAGCGGCGGACGGCUGAGUAACGCGUGGGAACAUGCCCCAAAGUGAGGAAUAAGCUCAAGAAAUUGAGUCUAAUGCCGCAUAUGAUCUUAGGAUUAAAGGAUUUAUCCGCUUUGGGAGUGGCCCGCGUUCGAUUAGGUAGUUGGUGAGGUAAAGGCUCACCAAGCCCACGAUCGAUAACUGGUCUGAGAGGAUGAUCAGUCAGACUGGAACUGAGAUACGGUCCAGACUCCUACGGGAGGCAGCAGUGAGGAAUCUUCCACAAUGGGCGAAAGCCUGAUGGAGCGACGCCGCGUGCAGGAUGAAGGCCUUCGGGUUGUAAACUGCUUUUAUAAGUGAAGAAUAUGACGGUAACUUAUGAAUAAGCACCGGCUAACUACGUGCCAGCAGCCGCGGUCAUACGUAGGGUGCAAGCAUUAUCCGGAGUGACUGGGCGUAAAGAGUUGCGUAGGUGGUUUAUUAAGUGAAUGGUGAAAUCUGGCGGCUCAACCGUACAGACUAUUAUUCAAACUGAUAAACUCGAGAAUGGUAGAGGUAAUUGGAAUUUCUUGUGUAGGAGUGAAAUCCGUAGAUAUAAGAAGGAACACCAAUGGCGUAGGCAGAUUACUGGACCAUUUCUGACACUGAGGCACGAAAGCGUGGGGAGCGAACCGGAUUAGAUACCCGGGUAGUCCACGCCGUANACUAUGGAUACUAGCUGUUGGAGGUANCGACCCCUUCAGUAGCGAAGCUAACGCGUUAAGUAUCCCGCCUGUGGAGUACGGUCGCAAGACUAAAAC
rnacentral:rRNA from 1 species